ensembl:lncRNA
CAACACUUGGUCCCAAUGUGUUGUGUGUAAAUGUGUGCUUAGUAACACUGCUGUUUUGCUUUCGUAAGUACUGUACCCCCUGUCAGCAUGUGGCUGACAGAACCCUGUCACUUUCUGAAAUUUAGUUCAUGAGCCCAAUUAUGUAACCUGAAACUGCACUCACCUUACUCACUGACCAAGGUCCAAAAAUAUGCAGGAUCCCCCUUGUGUUGCAGUUCUCUGGUUAAAACCUCACGUCUGCAAAUUAUUGAACUUGAAGAGUUUUAGAAAACCUUGGCAAUGAUGAAUUUAUUGGAAACUGUCUUUUAAACUCUUAUCAUAAAGGAAUACUGACAGCAAAUUUCUAUUUAGGUGUGAAAAAUACCAAAAUUUGUAAUGAUGUGGUUCUCAACAGCAGAUUCCAACUGUCAGUAAGAUAAGAACAAAUCUAAAUUGUUGUUUUAAGGAAUUUGACAUUUUGGGAAAUAUGCUUAUUUGCCACUUGUAUACCAGAAGCCAGUUAGCUUAGCGUAGCACAAAGACCAGACAGAUCACCCACAUCAUUUCAUUAACCCUGUAUUUACUUUGUUUAAAGGCCCCACUUAGUACCUAAUUUUAAUAAGAAAAUUUAAGUUUCCAAUAUCCCAAGAAUGUGUAUUUCAGGUUUCAAGUCAAAAUACUGCACAGAUCAUUCACACUAGUAUGCCUUUUAUGUUUGUAUUUUAGACCUGUUAAAUAUGGGCUAUUUCAGCGUUUGCAGCUUUAAAUCUAACUGAGCUGCUGCUGCCCACAUCUUCAACAGAAAGAGGGUUGUAGGUAAACCUUUCUCUGAAUCUACUCUGUUCAGUGAGCGGCAGAGAGGAGGAGGAGCCAGCUGGGGGCCGGUGCUAAUCCUGUAGUGGCAUCACAACAGGCUGCAAACCUGAAAAGCUCAUUUAGAGACACACUGAUUUAUGUAGAAGAAAGAGAAAGAAUACAUUUUGUGGCUGUCGUGACACACUUGGGACAGAUAGUUAUUUUCAAGAACAAAUAAAAACUGAAUUUUGCAUAAGAUGGUCCCUUUAAUCUAUUAAAAAAAAAACAAAAACAAAACAGAGUCUCAACACAUUAGAGCGAGCGAGUAGCUCAGGGGAUAAGAAGAGAGACUACCAACUGGAAGCUAGCAGGUUCAAGACCCACCACUGGCCUUUAUUUGGGGGCAGUGGUGGUGCAACAGUUAAGUCUCUGGACUACUGAUCAGAAGGUCAGAGGUUCAAGCCCCGACGCGGCCACUGUUGGACCCUUGAGCAAGGCCCUUAACCCAUCCUGCUCCAGGGGCGCUGUACUUUGGCUGACCCGUCACUCUGACUCCCCCAAUUUGGGAGAUAUGUGAAAAUCAGAAUUUCCCCUCGUGGGAUUAAUAAGGGAUAAUAAAUUAAGAUCUAUGUGGUGUUCCUUUCAAGAAGUCCCUGCUCACAGCCAACAAAAUCAUCUGGCACAUAAACUCCUGCAAAACACUGCUCUUUUCAGUAUGGAUUUUAAAAGCAAGCUUUAGAGGUGUUGGCAGGCAGAUUUUGUUACUUUUGAUUGUUUACUGUGUGUCCAGUCUUCAUGCUAAGCUAAGCUGCCUGCUAGCUGUAGCUUCAUAUUGAGCAUAGAGACAUUAAAGUAGUGUAUCUUCUCAUCAAAGUCUGAACAAAAAGUGAAUAAGUGUUUUCCCAAAAAUUUAAGUCUUCUUUUAAUAUUGAUUAUUUGGUCCUUGAUAAAUUCAGAUUUAUGUGUAGAACUGCAUCUGAGAGGUGGGAUGUGUCCGACCACACAGCUGCAGAGCCAGUCUGGUGGUGAAUCAGUGGGUGAUGUUGUUGUGAGUUAUAGCCCAGCAAUCUUUGUCAGUUGUGUUAGACUAUCAGGUAAGAGACUGCCUUCCUGCUUGUUUAGAUGUAUCUACCAUUAUUGUCUGCUCUAGCUUUCGUAAUAGCACAUGAUGGGUCGUGGUUAGCGCCUUGCAUGGCAGCUUCCGCCAUCAGUGUGUGAAUGUGUGUGUGAAUGGGUGAAUGUGAUGUAUAAUGUAAAGCGCUUUGGAUAUCGUUUCCGGUAUAGUAAAGCGCUAUAUAAAUACAGACCAUUUACCAUUUACCAUGGCAGAAAAAUCACGAUGCCCCUGCGGAAGACACCAGAUGUUUAGUUUGUAAUGAUAAUUAUUUAAAUGACACAUACAUCAUGGCUAACAGUAGUUUGACUGGUGCAGGGGCUGGGACUAGUACAGUAAGAGGGUCAAUAUACACGGCCCACAUUACACACACUUGCCUAAGAAAGGGUGCUGAGGAUACAGUGUACACGAUACCAACUUUGUAAAUUUCUAAAUGUCUCACAAGUUUGGUGGACGGUUCUCAUGAAAGGCACCACCUCCCAAGGACGUGCUGAGACAGGGUGGGGGUGGGUCGGUCAGCUGGUGCUAUGAUGCUAUACCUUGAAAUUCACUGUGUUAAAAAAAAAAAGAAAAUGAGGGAUAAAUGGUAACCACAGAUAUUUUUCUGAGCUCUUCGAAUGUCAAGAGAACUAUACUUUUGAUUAAAGCAGUUUCACGGGAUGGGAAGCUGCCCUGGUGCUGACUUCAUGAGAAGUCUUUUGUUACAACGCUACAAAUUUGCAUCUCUUUUUGAGGGCAGGAGGGCACUCAAACAGUUGAUUACAUUCUCUAUUAAUAUUCAUUCCAUAUUGUACUUGAAUUCAUUUAAACUAGGAUGAGAUAUAGAGUCAUAUUAUAUGAAGACUGUUAUCUGGGUUUCAUAUUUGGUACAGCGCAAGUACCAAAGGCUAUUAAAAUUAUCUUUUGAGUAUGUUGUACAUGUUCAUGUUAACCUAAUGCUAAGAUAUUUGAACAAUACAAGAACUGUGUGCUACCCCCCUCUUUCUAUUUGUGCACUUCCUUUACUCACCCACUCUUUUUCUCUUAAAUCUUGUAUAUUCUGUCAAACACACAAACAUAGAUAUACAUUUGCAUCUAACUGUGUAUGGCCCACUUUUCAAAAUUUAUGAACACCUGAUUUUAACGAACACUCUCCAAAUUUGGACUUGGACCCUGGCCCAUACAAAAAAAAAAAAAAAUAAUGAAAAUGAACCGACGCAACUGGCAGCUACAUUCCUCUUUGAGUUUUAGGAUUGUUCUUGGUUUCUUAUUUUUCAUGUCAAGGAUGCAGUAUGUAAAAAAAAUUGUGUUUUUGUUCAGUCUCUCUCUCUUUGUAGCUGUAUGGUGUAUUAUGUGAAUACAUAGUGUAUGUGGUAAAAACCCCACAAUAUUGUUUUAUGUUGCGCGAUAAAUAAAAAGAUUGAAGUGAAA